rnacentral:rRNA from 1 species
AUAAGGAGUAGGACCUGCCCAGUGAUUUAAAUUCAACGGCCGCGGUACCCUGACCGUGCAAAGGUAGCAUAAUCAUUUGCCCUAUAAUUGAGGGCUAGUAUGAAUGGUUUGACGAGAGCUAAACUGUCUCUAUAUAAUUUUAUAAAAAUUUAUUUUCAGGUGAAGAAGCCUGAAUUUUAUUAAAAGACAAGAAGACCCUAUCGAGCUUUAAAAAACUUUAUAGACUAUUUAAAUAUAAAUAUAUAAAUUUCUAUUUAAAAUUUUGGUUGGGGCGACUAAGGAACAAGUAAAGCUUCUUUUAUUAAUUAAGACAUUCAUGUUAUGAUCCAAAUAUUUUGAUUAAAGAAAUUAGUUACCGUAGGGAUAACAGCAUAAUCUUUUUUAAGAGCUCUUAUCGAAAAAAAGGUUUGUGACCUCGAUGUUGGACCAGAGUUUCCUAAAGAUGCAGCAGUCUUUAAGGGUUGGUCUGUUCGACCAUUAAAACUCUA